rnacentral:rRNA from 1 species
GACGAACGCUGGCGGCGUGCUUAACACAUGCAAGUCGAACGAAGUGGCGAACGGGUGAGUAACGCGUAAUCAACCUGCCCUUCAGAGGGGGACAACAGUUGGAAACGACUGCUAAUACCGCAUACUGAAGGCGGGGAUUGCGUCUGAUUAGCUAGUUGGAGGGGUAACGGCCCACCAAGGCGAUGAUCAGUAGCCGGGCUGAGAGGGAGGACGGCCAAAUGGGGACUGGGGCACGGGCCAGAAUCCUCCGGGAGGCAGCAGUGGGGAAUCUUCCGAAAUGGACGAAAGUCUGACGGAGCAACUCCGCGUGAGUGAUGACGGCCUUCGGGUUGUAAAGGUAUGUUAAUCGGGACGCGGUACCGGAAUAGAAAGCCACGGCUAACUACGUGCCAGCAGCCGCGGUAAUAC